rnacentral:rRNA from 1 species
AAGACCUUAUGCUUUUGGAGCGGCCGAUGUCUGAUUAGCUAGUUGGUGGGGUAAAGGCUUACCAAGGCGACGAUCAGUAGUUGGUCUGAGAGGACGACCAGCCACACUGGGACUGAGACACGGCCCAGACUCCUACGGGAGGCAGCAGUGGGGAAUUUUGGACAAUGGGCGAAAGCCUGAUCCAGCAAUGCCGCGUGAGUGAAGAAGGCCUUCGGGUUGUAAAGCUCUUUCAGUUGAGAAGAAAAGGUUGUGACUAAUAAUCACAGCCCAUGACGGUAUCGACAGAAGAAGCACCGGCUAACUACGUGCCAGCAGCCGCGGUAAUACGUAGGGUGCGAGCGUUAAUCGGAAUUACUGGGCGUAAAGGGUGCGCAGGCGGUUCUGUAAGUCAGAUGUGAAAUCCCCGGGCUUAACCUGGGAACU